rnacentral:rRNA from 1 species
UACGGAGGGUGCAAGCGUUAUCCGGAUUCACUGGGUUUAAAGGGUGCGUAGGUGGGCAGGUAAGUCAGUGGUGAAAUCCUGUAGCUUAACUACAGAACUGCCAUUGAUACUAUUUGUCUUGAAUACCCUGGAGGUGAGCGGAAUAUGGUCAUGUAGCGGUGAAAUGCUUAGAUAUGACAUAGAACAUCUAUUGCGAAGGCAGCUCACUACGGGAAUAUUGACGCUGAGGCACGAAAGCGUGGGGAUCAAACAGG